rnacentral:rRNA from 1 species
GACGAACGCUGGCGGCGUGCUUAACACAUGCAAGUCGAACGGAAAGGCCUCUUUCGGGGGGUACUCGAGUGGCGAACGAGUGAGUAACACGUGAGUAACCUGCCCUUGACUUUGGGAUAACUUCAGGAAACUGGGGCUAAUACCGGAUAGGAGCUCCUGCUGCAUGGUGGGGGUUGGAAAGUUUCGGCGGUUGGGGAUGGACUCGCGGCUUAUCAGCUUGUUGGUGGGGUAGUGGCUUACCAAGGCUUUGACGGGUAGCCGGCCUGAGAGGGUGACCGGCCACAUUGGGACUGAGAUACGGCCCAGACUCCUACGGGAGGCAGCAGUGGGGAAUAUUGCACAAUGGGUGGAAGCCUGAUGCAGCAACGCCGUGUGCGGGAUGACGGCCUUCGGGUUGUAAACCGCUUUCGCUCAUGACGAAGCUUUGUGUGACGGUAGUGGGUAAAGAAGCACCGGCUAACUACGUG